rnacentral:misc_RNA from 1 species
AAGUCGUAACAAGGUUUCCGUAGGUGAACCUGCGGAAGGAUCAUUACCAAAUAGUUGGCCGUUAACUCGGUCAUUAGUGCUUGCCAAUUCGGCUUGCAUAAACGCUUAAUUGUUUUAUUAUAUUGUGGGAUCUUAACAUAAAAACAACUUUUAACAAUGGAUCUCUAGGCUCUU